UGGGGAAUCUUGCGCAAUGGGCGAAAGCCUGACGCAGCAACGCCGCGUGCGGGAUGACGGCCUUCGGGUUGUAAACCGCUUUCAGUGGGGACGAAAUCAGACGGUACCCACAGAAGAAGCCCCGGCCAACUACGUGCCAGCAGCCGCGGUAACACGUAGGGGGCAAGCGUUGUCCGGAUUCAUUGGGCGUAAAGAGCUCGUAGGCGGCUCAGUAAGUCGGGUGUGAAACCCUCAGGCUCAACCUGGGGACGCCACUCGAUACUGCUGUGGCUAGAGUCCAGUAGGGGAGUGUGGAAUUCCCGGUGUAGCGGUGAAAUGCGCAGAUAUCGGGAGGAACACCAGCGGCGAAGGCGGCACUCUGGGCUGGUACUGACGCUGAGGAGCGAAAGCGUGGGUAGCAAACA
rnacentral:rRNA from 1 species